rnacentral:rRNA from 1 species
AUCUCAAAAACCUAUCUCAGUUCGGAUCGGAGUCUGCAACUCGACUCCGUGAAGUUGGAUUCGCUAGUAAUCGCGCAUCAGCCAUGGCGCGGUGAAUACGUUCCCGGGCCUUGUACACACCGCCCGUCAAGCCAUGGAAGCCGGGGGGACCUGAAGUACGUGACCGUAACAGGAGCGUCCUAGGGUAAAACCGGUAACUGGGGCUAAGUCGUAACAAGGUAGCCGUACCGGAAGGUGUGGCUGGAACACCUCCUUU